AUUGAACGCUGGCGGCAGGCCUAACACAUGCAAGUCGAGCGAGCGGCGGACGGGUGAGUAAUGUCUGGGAAACUGCCUGAUGGAGGGGGAUAACUACUGGAAACGGUAGCUAAUACCGCAUACCAUCAGAUGUGCCCAGAUGGGAUUAGCUAGUAGGUGGGGUAAUGGCUCACCUAGGCGACGAUCCCUAGCUGGUCUGAGAGGAUGACCAGCCACACUGGAACGGAGACACGGUCCAGACUCCUACGGUAGGCAGCAGUGGGGAAUAUUGCACAAUGGGCGCAAGCCUGAUGCAGCCGGGCCGCGUGUGAUAAGAAGGCCUUCGGGUUGUAAAGCACUUUCAGCGGGGAGGCGUUACCCGCAGAAGAAGCACCGGCUAACUCCGUGCCAGCAGCCGCGGUAAUUC
rnacentral:rRNA from 1 species